AAAUACUAGUAAAUGAGUGUUAAAACACGACACAUGAUUUAAAUUUAGGCGUAAGUUUUUCUUUUCAAAUCUUUUUGUUAACAUACGUGUAUGAGUUUUCUCAAUAGAGAGAAUUCAUGUCAAAUGUGUGAAAACAUACAAUAAUAUAUUUUUUUUUCCUUAAAGACAAACACAAAAUUAUACAUAUAUAUUUAUUUAUACAUGCAUCUCUAUAUAUAGCUACGUCCGUGUGUGUAUUGACCAUAUCUCUUUAUAAAAUGUAUAAUUCAUGCAAAACACUCUCUAUCUUUCUCACUCAAGUUAUGGGUGUAUUUGAAAGCCUUUCACGGAUUGAAGAACCAUCAAAAUGUCAUGAUCAAGGGCAAAAAGGCUAUUUCAAGAAGAAGAAGAAGAAGGUGAUCGUAACUUGUUCUUCUUCAUGAUCAAAUUAACGACUCUAUCUUAUCCUGAGCUUCCUUUUUUUUAAAUUAAGUAUACUUCUACUGUUUUUUCUUGACCUUGUAAGACCUUUUCUCUACCCUUUUCUGUCUUCUUACUAUUUCCAUCUUCUUGGUUUCUCGGUUAUGUCCAGUUUCUACAUUAGUUGAUUGUCUCUGCUAAAUCGAUGAAGAUUUUGUAGUAACUCAUAGGGUUCGUAUUUUGUCUCCUUUAUUUGUCCCUCUUGAGCUUCCUAAACUUCUCCACUAAUCUCUUGUACUAUGUAUUGUUUUAAUUAAGAGAUCAAGGAGUUUCUUGUAAACACGUUAUAAUGCAAAAAAUAACAAUUGUAACAUUUUUUUUGUUUAACAAUUGUAACAUUAAUUAGUUUGAUAUUAAUUUUGUUAUUCCUUUUCA